UACGGGGGGGAGCAAGCGUUGUUCGGAUUUACUGGGCGUAAAGGGCGCGUAGGCGGUCACUACAAGUCAGUUGUGAAAUCUCUGGGCUUAACUCAGAACGGUCAACUGAUACUGUUGGACUAGAGUGCAGAAGGGGCAACUGGAAUUCUCGGUGUAGCGGUGAAAUGCGUAGAUAUCGAGAGGAACACCUGAGGUGAAGACGGGUUGCUGGGCUGAUACUGACGCUGAGGCGCGAAAGCUAGGGGAGCGAACGGG
rnacentral:rRNA from 1 species